rnacentral:rRNA from 1 species
UACGGAGGGUGCAAGCGUUAAUCGGAAUUACUGGGCGUAAAGGGCGCGUAGGUGGCUUGGUAAGCGUGUGGUGAAAUCCCCGGGCGUCAACCUGGGAACGUGCAUUCAAAACUAGACAAGCUAGAGUAUGGUAGAGGGUGGUGGAAUUUCCUGUGUAGCGGUGAAAUGCGUAGAUAUAGGAAGGAACACCAGUGGCGAAGGCGACCACCUGGACUGAUACUGACACUGAGGUGCGAAAGCGUGGGGAGCAAACAGGAUUAGAUACCCGUGUAGU